GUGAAAUUGAGGAUUCUUAUUACUAGGAAAAUUUAGAUUCACAUAUGGAUCUCAUACAAAAUUUAUGAAAACUAGAAUAAUGCUAGAUUGCCUAUGAUACAUAAAAUUAAAAUACAGGGGAUCUCUCUUUCCAAUCUGCUAAGCACUUGAUCAAAACCUCCCCAAGUUUCCCUUCAUUGAUAGCCUCGUGGACUUUCUCUAUAUCCUCUCCUGGGCUCACUUUCUUUUCCCCACUAAGAAGCUCAGUCCCCACUUCACUUCUGACAAACUCAUAUAUCGGAUAAGUCCUGCAUUUCUUGAUCCUGUUUGCUAUAGCAAAUUCCCCACCAUCAAAUCUCCCUCUCGCUUUUGACACUUCUUCUUCCAGUCUUGCCUUCAAUUCCUCCAUAAAAACUGGUAUUCGCUUGAAUAUUGUGUAGCCAUUUUCAUCAGCACGUUCAGAUUUAGGAUCUUUAAGUGCUUUCUUGACGAGUACCUCUUGGAGUUUAGGCAGAAGUGCAUAAGAAGGAUUUGUUGGGUCAUCGAGAUAGGAGAAUACAGGUUGAUGCUCAACAACCUGCAAGAGCUCUUUCUCGCAGAAACGCGAUUCGAGCAGCAUUCCAUCUUCAGAAAUAUAUAGGGUUUUCCUUACCGCCUGGCGGAGCACUUGUUUCACAACUUCCCUCAUGUUCUCCUCCAAAUGCCUUAGAUCAAUUGCCUGGCAAAGUGCCACCAUGAAAGUCGCGGACAUAAGCUUCAGGAUUUCAAUGGCUUCAGCGCUUUUUCUUGCCGAAAUCAAGCCUAGAGAGUUCACAUCUUGAUUGUGCUGUUCAGCACUUUGAACAUGAGUAGUUACAGGAUUUGCCAAGUACUGAAGCUCUGAGCAAUAUGCGGCCAUCGCUAUUUCUGCACCUUUUAAUCCAUAGUCCAAGCUUGGAUUAGGUCCUCCGCUCAAAUUGGAAGGCAACCCAUUGUUGUAGUAGUCGCAAACGAGUUCAGAGAACUGAGCAAACAUGAGCUUUCCAAUUGCUGCAAUGGCGAUCCUGAGAUUGUCCAUAGAAACACCAAUUGGUGUUCCUUGGAAAUUUCCUCCAUGAAGGGCAAGGUCUCGAGCUACAUCAAUCAAUGGAUUAUCGUUGACAGAAUUGAUCUCCCUCUCAAUUGAAUGAGUGGCUGCCCGAAUAACCUCAAUUUGUGGACCCAGCCACUGUGGAGAGGUUCUAAUUGCAUAUCUGUCCUGUUUAGGCUUUGUAAGCGGGUCUUUCUCAUGGCGAAUUUUUGCUUCUUUCAUGCAGUCACUUUCAUCUUACAGGUGUUUCAUGAUAGCGGCUGCUUCAAUCUGGCCUGGAUGGUGCUUAAGCUCAUGAGUAAGUGGGUCUGUGUACGCUGGCUUUCCAUGCAUGACCUCACAGAACAAAGCAGAGAGAAUUUCUGCUAGCAGAGCCAAAAUAUUGGCAUCAAAACAAACAGUUGCAGCUACAGCUGAGCCAACCGCUGUUCCAUUCACAAGAGCCAAACCUUCCUUCGCUUGUAGCUCGAAUGGAGCCUCAAUUCCUGCUCUCUUCAAAGCUUCAAUAGCUGUAAUCACUUCCCCUUGAGGGGUUUCUACCUUGGAAUUGUGACGGCCAGUUAACAAACCAGCAAUAUAAGACAAUGGCACAAGAUCGCCUGAAGCUGUGAUAGUCCCUCUCAGAGGCAGCUUAGGGAUCAAAUUUUCAUUCAUAAGCUUGGCAAUAGAUUCAAGAAUCUCCCACCGUAUACCAGAAUAACCUUGCAUUAGUGUGUUGGUACGGACGAGCAUAGCUGCCUUGGAAUAACUGGUCGGAAGAUUCUCCUUGCCAAUGACCCCAGCAUUGAGGAACCGAAUGAGCUCUGUCUGAAGGUCACCAGUUUUACUGGUACGCCUAUGAGAAGUGGCACCAAAGCCGGUGGUAACACCAUAAGUGUCAGUCCCACGAGAGAUGUUCACUGCAACCCAAUCGGCGCUCUUUGCCACUCGGCCACGAGCAGCAUCCUCGUCAAGGCAAACAUUUACUUCGACCCGACGAGCAACAGCAGUGACCUGAGCAACAGUGAGGGUGGUACCUUGGAUUUCAACUGUUUUGGCAUUGGCAAAUUGGGACACCAUUUGAGAGACUUCAUCAAAAUGGGCACAUUGGAGAGACUCUGCAGCCUUCUUCCAAUGUGGUGGGCAAGGCACACAAGGAUUGCAAAAGGGGUGAUUUUCACUAUCAAAAACAGAGGCAAUUCCGUUUGUAGCCAUUGGCACAACAAGAGAAAAUGGAGUUUUUCUGGGUAUUGAGAGUAUUGGGUGUUUGAUAAUUGUUUAGUUUGUGAGGAUUGAGAUUGAGAGGAAGCUUGGAGUGCCUGUGUAUUUAUAGUAGCGAUAAUGAGAGAGUGGUAAGUGGGAAAGGGCUGCGUCCAUGGUCCAAGUCCG
rnacentral:misc_RNA from 1 species